AACGAACGCUGGCGGCAUGCCUAACACAUGCAAGUCGAACGAGACCUUCGGGUCUAGUGGCGCACGGGUGCGUAACGCGUGGGAACCUGCCCUUAGGUUCGGAAUAACUCCCCGAAAGGGGUGCUAAUACCGGAUAAUGUCUUCGGACCAAAGAUUUAUCGCCUUUGGAUGGGCCCGCGUUGGAUUAGCGAGUUGGUAGGGUAAAAGCCUACCAAGGCGACGAUCCAUAGCUGGUCUGAGAGGAUGAUCAGCCACACUGGGACUGAGACACGGCCCAGACUCCUACGGGAGGCAGCAGUGGGGAAUAUUGGACAAUGGGCGAAAGCCUGAUCCAGCAAUGCCGCGUGAGUGAUGAAGGCCUUAGGGUUGUAAAGCUCUUUUACACGGGAUGAUAAUGACAGUACCGGGAGAAUAAGCUCCGGCUAACUACGUG
rnacentral:rRNA from 1 species